ACUCCUACGGGAGGCAGCAGUGAGGAAUAUUGGACAAUGGGUGGAAGCCUGAUCCAGCCAUCCCGCGUGCAGGAAGACGGCCCUAUGGGUUGUAAACUGCUUUUAUCUGGGGAUAAACCUACUUACGUGUAAGUAGCUGAAGGUACCAGAAGAAUAAGCACCGGCUAACUCCGUGCCAGCAGCCGCGGUAAUACGGAGGGUGCAAGCGUUAUCCGGAUUUAUUGGGUUUAAAGGGUCCGUAGGCGGACUGAUAAGUCAGUGGUGAAAUCCGACAGCUUAACUGUCGAACUGCCAUUGAUACUGUUAGUCUUGAGUAAGGUUGAAGUGGCUGGAAUAAGUAGUGUAGCGGUGAAAUGCAUAGAUAUUACUUAGAACACCAAUUGCGAAGGCAGGUCACUAAGUCUUAACUGACGCUGAUGGACGAAAGCGUGGGGAGCGAACAGGAUUAGAAACCCCAGUAGUCCCAU
rnacentral:rRNA from 1 species